GCCGGGCGCAGUGGCACGCACCUGUAGUCCCAGCUACUUGGGAGGCUGAGGCUGCAGGAUCGCUUGAGCUCAGGAGUUCUGGGCUGCAGUGCGCUAUGCCGAUCAGGUGCCUGCACUAAGUUCGGCAUUAAUAUGGUGACCUCCCGGGAGCGGAGGACCACCAGGUUGCCUAAGGAGGGGUGAACCGGCCCAGGUCGGAAAUGGAGCAGGUCAAAACUCCCGUGCUGAUCAGUAGUGGGAUCGCGCCUGUGAAUAGCCACUGUACUCCAGCCUGGGCAACAUAGCAACACCACGUCUCU
rnacentral:SRP_RNA from 1 species